AAGAGCCGUGUGCGGUAAUUCCGCUCGCACGGUUCUGUGAGGAGUUGAGGAACACAGCCGUUAGACUACGGUUGUGUUCCCGCUUACUCGAC
rnacentral:ncRNA from 1 species